AAUAGGACGCUAAUGAAAUUUUUCGAACGUUAUUUAACAAAGCUGAAUUAAUCGCCACUGCUAUAGAUAAUUGUGUUAUAUGUUCAAGAACGGUAAAAAACAGUCACUAAGAGCAAAUUAUGAAACUGAAAGUUGUGAAGAUUAUUACCGAGUAACAGUUUUUAUACCAUAUCUUGAUUCAAUGACACAAUCCAUAAAUGAAAAUA